UACGGAGGGGGCGAGCGUUAUUCGGAAUUAUUGGGCGUAAAGGGCGCGUAGGCGGCCUGCUAAGUCGAACGUGAAAUCCCUGGGCUCAACCCAGGAACUGCGUCCGAUACUGGUUGGCUUGAAUCCGGGAGAGGGAUGCGGAAUUCCAGGUGUAGCGGUGAAAUGCGUAGAUAUCUGGAGGAACACCGGUGGCGAAGGCGGCAUCCUGGACCGGCAUUGACGCUGAGGCGCGAAAGCCAGGGGAGCGAACGGG
rnacentral:rRNA from 1 species